UCCAGCUCAUCCCAAAUCAGCAUUUCAGUUGAUCAGGUUUAAGUCACAGGCUUGUUGAGGCCAAACACUUUUUUUUCUUUAUUGCAUAAUUCCAUAUGUGUCCCUUUCUUGUCUUUAAUAUUGAUCUACAAUGUAGAAUUUUGACUUGUACUGUAUGUUAGUGGAAAUAAUAGCACAGCACCACCAUAGCAUCAACAGGAAGUCAACCCAGAGACCUUUUUAUUGCGAGACCGUGUUGGUGGCACUGUUGUUGAGGAUAUAUCAGCCGGUUUAGUUACAAUGGGUGGCACAGAGAGAGGAAGAGAGAGAGAAAUACAGAGACAGUGGGUGGGUUGUAAAAGAAUGAUGGAUAGACUGAUGGGAAAUGGAUGGGCGCAUCACUAAACCACUGCACAUCCUCUGAGUCUGUGUGUUUGUUUGUGUGUGUGUGUGUGUGUGUGUGUGUGUAUAAACACAAAUAUCACUCCCACAAGUAACAGUGGAGUGAUAUAAACCCUGCUGCUAGUCCUGAGUGUCAGUAAAGCUCACUCCUUUAAUGCGGAUCCUCCAUCAGCCUGAGCAAUGCUGAUCUCUAUAGCGCUCGCCUGCCUGCUCGGCCCAGCUGCAGCCUAUCCGAUUGUUCAGAAGGAUGUUUUAGAUGAACUGGUCACUCAGAGCAGUCUCAACGUGGUCAGCAAUCCAGUGAUCCAGCAGGAGCACAUAACAGUUACUGCUGCCAUACUGCUGGGUACUGGAGUCCCUGAUGUUCCUGCAGUUCCAGAUGUUAAUGUUGUUCCAGGGGAUGGACAGCAGAUUGAGGGUGAACAGGCAGCAGCACACAGCUCAUCUGAAUCUGAAAGCUCUGAGCAAAGCCAGUCAGUGGAGAAUCCAACCGAGGUAUAGCACACACACACACAAACACACACACACACACACACAGAUUUGUGUAUAUAGUAUUAUAUAUC
rnacentral:lncRNA from 1 species